AGAGUUUGAUCMUGGCUCAGAGUUAACGCUGGCGGCGUGCCUAACACAUGCAAGUCGAACGAGAUUUCCAGGUUYGUAUCGGAGAUCUAGUGGCAGACGGGUGAGUAACACGUAAACAACCUGCCCUCAAAAGGGGGAUAACCUGACGAAAGUCGGACUAAUACCCCAUAUAAUCCUCUGGAGGCAUCAUUAGAGGAUGAAAGGCCCGCAAGGGUCGAUUGAGGAGGGGUUUGCGGCCUAUCAGCUAGUUGGCGGUGUAACGGACCACCAAGGCAAUGACGGGUAGCCGAUCUAAAAGGAUGACCGGCCACAAGGGCACUGAGACACGGGCCCUACUCCUACGGGAGGCAGCAGUGGGGAAUUUUGGACAAUGGACGAAAGUCUGAUCCAGCGACGCCGCGUGGAGGACGAAGGUUUUCGGAUUGUAAACUCCUUUUACAGGGGACGAAAGCCCGCAAGGGUUUGACGGUACUCUGUGAAUAAGCCACGGCUAACUACGUGCCAGCAGCCGCGGUAAUACGUAGGUGGCGAGCGUUACUCGGAAUUACUAGGCGUAAAGCGUGUGUAGGCGGGAACUUAAGUCUGUCGUUAAAGCUCAYGGCUCAACCRUGAAAUGUCGACAGAUACUGGGUUUCUUGAGUGCGGUAGGGGAGAUUGGAAUUCCCGGUGUAGCGGUGAAAUGCGUAGAUAUCGGGAAGAACGCCAAAGGCGAAGGCAGAUCUCUGGGCCGUUACUGACGCUGAGACACGAAAGCUAGGGGAGCAAACAGGAUUAGAUACCCUGGUAGUCC
rnacentral:rRNA from 1 species